rnacentral:rRNA from 1 species
CCUACGGGACGCAGCAGUGGGGGAUAUUGCACAAUGGGGGAAACCCUGAUGCAGCGACGCCGCGUGGACGAAGAAGUAUUUCGGUAUGUAAAGUCCUAUCAGCAGGGAAGAAGAAAUGACGGUACCUGACUAAGAAGCCCCGGCUAACUACGUGCCAGCAGCCGCGGUAAUACGUAGGGGGCAAGCGUUAUCCGGAUUUACUGGGUGUAAAGGGAGCGUAGACGGCAGCGCAAGUCUGGAGUGAAAUCCCAUGGCUUAACCAUGGAACUGCUUUGGAAACUGUGCAGCUGGAGUGCAGGAGAGGU